rnacentral:lncRNA from 10 species
GGGUGGAGCACCCCAACUCCAUGGGGCCAGAUGCUCCUGUGCUUGGGACCUUCAAGACCCCGCUCUCUCCAUCGCUUCAUCUGCCUGUUCUUCUGUGUCCUUUAUUAUAACCUUAUUAACAAACCAUCAAAUGCGUCAGCCUCUGCAGCCACCAUUCCCCUCUCUGCUGCUCCGAGUUCAAUUGUUUUAAUUCCACAAGGGCUGGAUAAUACUCCAUUGUGUGUAUAAACUACAGUUUCCUUAUCCAUUUGUCCCUUAAUGGACACUUAGACUGAUUUCAUAACUUGGCUAUUGUGAAUCAUGCUGCAAUGAACUUAGGAGUGCAGAUAUCUCUUGGACCCAUUGAUUUCAAAUCUUUAACACCCAGAAGUGGGGUUGAUGGAUCUCUUACUUAAUGUUUUUGUUCCAUUUAACAUGGAUGUCCCUCUAACUCUUCUAAAGAAUGUCACAGAUGAUCUCAGUUGGGCUAGAGUUUUUCUUGACUUCAUACUUUGCAUUCUUCUGGCCUUAAUGCAUUUUGGAAAGGAGCCAGUUGUUUAGAAAUGUGCUCCUGCUUUUCUAACCUAUGUUCAAAAAAGAGUAAGCUUCCCCUGCACCCAUGGCUGUGAAUCUGUGGGACUGUCGACAGUCAGGCACUGAGGAUGAAGAACUGGAAGAUUCUGCACAUCCCAGGCCAUUCUUGAUGUUAGCUUUUCCCAUAUGUGAUGCUGUAGCGUGGGAAGGAACGGGAAAUUUCUCCUACUUGCUUCCAGUUACAGGAGAAUUCCUUUUCAGCAGCUCAACAAAGGCCUGCUACUGAUGGCCUCCUGGAUGUGACGUCACGCUCUGGGGCUGCAAGUCCAGUUUAAUUCAUCAGCU